GUGUUUUGGUCGGAGCGAGGGGCGGGGCCUGAGGCCCUGGAAAAGGAAUGCGUCCUUGACCGGAGAGGUCGGAAAGCUGGCCGGUUCUAGGCCCCGAGAAAACGCCGCCCCCUCCGGGAAGUCCUCGAGCCUGCAGGAGACAUCUAGCCCGCUGUCCAGGGCACCUUUUUUUUUCUCCCUAUAUUUCGGUUGCUCGCGUCUCUUGGUGUGGUUUGCCCACGUCUGCAGCGCCAGACAGCAUUCCUUCUGCGUGGAACAUGCCAACCCUCGUCUGCUUUGACUUUGCAAAACUGCAUGAGACCGCCGGGCGCGGUGGCUCACGCCUGUAAUCCCAGCACUUCAAGAGGCCGAGGCAGACAGAUCACCUGAGGUCAGGAGUUUGAGGCCAGCCUGGCCAGCAUGGUGAAACCCCGUCUCUACUAAAAAUACAAAAAAUCAGCCAGUAAUCCUAGCUACUCGGGAGGCUGAGGCAGGAGAAUCGCUUGAACCCAGGAAGCAGAGGUUGCAGUGAGCCGAGGUCAUGCCAUUGCACUCCAGCCUGGGCUACAAGAGUGAAACUCCGUCUCAAAAAAGAAAAAAAAAAAGAAAAAAAGACUGCAUAUGACUCCCCAGUGAAGCCCUCCCUGAUUGGCCUCUGCAGAAGGCAGCAUGCCCGGGCUUUGGAGUCAGACCUGCAUACAAAUCCUUGUUUUGCCGGUGUGACCUUGCCAAGUCUUCUUUCCUGCAGGACAGAAGGCGGCAGCAGCUCUCCCUGAACUGGCACUCUGGCUUCUCUUGCCCCAGGGUCUGUUUCUGCUCCUUGGACAGCAGGCGCAUGUGGGAACUGUGCCCUCUUCAGCCAUGAGCCCCUGUUCUGCGCACAUCUAGCCCAUCUUCCAGAUGGACAGACAGUCUGUGGUCGUCGCCAAACCCCUGAAUCUGGCCCUGCCCGCAGUCAGAGGGAUGGCAAUUUGUAAGCUACAGACUAUUGCGAAUCAUUCACUUGGAGACUGAACUAAGACUACUGGCACCAGGCUCCGUAGACCCUCGGGAAGAGCAUGGUCUGGCAGGCAGACUGGAUGUGGCCACAGAUAACAUCCCCUAAGGGGAGAGCGUGAGCCUGCAGGCCAGAAUGCCACCACUUUCUCCUGUGUCGUUCCAGAGAGAGCCUGUGGCUAUGCACGCUUGCUGCUACAGAGGGUAGUGCUGUAUACCUCCUGGGCUCACUUACUGACUUUUCAGUCUAAGGGCUUAUUGCAAUUGGUACAUAACGAUCAUACUUUGUAAUGGUUAAGUAAUAUUCCAUCAUAUGGAUGUGUUGUUUAUUUAACAUUCUGGUUGAAUAACCAAGACUUUUAGGUUUCCAGUUUUCCAGGAACAUCAUGCCCCUCCAUCAUUUGCCCACCUGGAAGGAUAACUACAGGAUAAGCAGCUCUUAGAACUGGAAUUGCUGAGUUAACUGCUCUGUGCAUUUCCUUGCUUUUUCUUGCUUUUCUUUUCUUUCUUUUAUUAUUUUUUUGGGUAAAUUUUUAUUGAACUAUAGCAUAGCGUAGAUACAGGAAAGUGUAAAAACUUAAAUGUACAAUUCAAUGAAUUUUCGCUAGGCAAACACUGUGUCACCAGCACCCAGAUUUAGAAACAGAAUAUUACCAGAAUCCCAAAAGCCCCAUGAGCUGCCGUCCAGUCACUACUUACCGUUUCCCUGAUCCCCUGCAUAGGAUAAUCCUUAUCAUGGCUUCUGACACUUUCGGUUGGUUUUGGAUGUACUGACACUUUUUGUGUGUGUGUGACACUUUUAUAAUACAAAGAAAAUCAUACAGUAUGUUCAGUUUGGGGUCUGGCUUCUUUCACUCAGUGUGUUGUUGUGGGCAGUUGGAGUUUGUUUAUUCUCAUUCUUCUGUUCUCUUUCUCUUUGGUUGAGUUUACUGGGCUGGAAGCAGUACAAGGACCAGAAUAUGCUGUGAGCUGACCAGCCACUGGGCUGGCUGGCUGGUUGACAAAUGAUCUAACAAAUGGUUGACAAAAUGGAUGGAUGAAUGAAUCACAGACCCACUAAUCCACUGACCUGUUCAAUGCCUGACUGGAAAUUGAGUGUCCAUUCCUCCCAACACCCCAGGGCCCCUGUCUCCCUUUGCUAGGGGCACUCAUGAUGGUGAGCAGAGAGGUCUGUAGGUGUAGCUGAGGCACAGAUCAUCCAGGUCAACCUGCGUAUUUUAGAUGGGGAAACUCAGGCCUAGCAACUUCACACAAAGCCACUUUGCUCAGGGGAAAAAUCAUCAUGACGCUGUGUCUGAUGUGGUUGAGGUACGAAGGAGGACCAGGUCAGAAGACGUUUAUUAAAUACCAAAAGUAGGCCAAGUGUCAUGCUAGGGGCUAGCUCUUCAUGCCUUUUGAUUCCCUGAUUUCAGCCCCAUUUAUAGAUGAAGUCACUGAGGGACGAGAGGUGAAGCCACUUGCCCGUCAUUGUCGGCCAGUGAGUGGAGGGCCCGGGAUCCAUCCCUCCAGCUCGGGUCCAGUGCUGCUUUGUCCCAGCUGCCUGCCCCUGGAAAAGAGGCUGCUAAGAGCACGUGCUGAGUCCUUGUAAGCUGGCCCAGAGUCGGGGGCUGUGGGCAGCUCCCACCAGGCACAAAAGGGGGUGCUCAGUCCCAUCACUCCAGGGAGGGUGAGGAGGCCAGUGCAGUUUGUUCCUGCUGUGGCUGCCAUACCCCUCCCCACACUGGACACACCUCCUGCCACGUGGUUCUGGCUGCCUCAGUGGCUGCACUCGGCCUUCUUUCUGUGUCUCCAGGCUGCGCUACAACCUCACUGUGUGAUACGUCUUCAAACCUCCCAAGAGGGAGAACCAGGUUGG
rnacentral:lncRNA from 10 species